GGCAAACAUGAGAAGGGUGAGCAGUAUUUCAAACACAUACCAGGAGAUCUGGAUCCAUUCAAGGCCAGGAUGGAUAGGACUCUGAGAAGCCUGAUACAAUUGAAGAUGUCUCUUUAGGAACUUCUCCUUUUGCACCUCUAUCAUGUGUUGGCACCAUCAGUUCACCAAUUACCUUCUAGGCCGAGUUCCUGAUCGCCUACAGAAUGACUUACUGGAAGAAGAGGAUGCACCAUCUGCUCCCAGACAAAGGCAGACCUUGAGUUAAAGAAGAGCUUGAAAGUGAAAUAAAGGUGCUUGUGACAUCCUAAGGAACUGGAUGCCACUGCAAGAUGCUGCUCCAGUGAAUGAUGGGUUCAGAGCUGCCAAAAUAAAACUUCAGAGUUGAGAAAUUAAUAGUUUAGGAGGAAUGCCUUUAAAUGAGGAGGAAUGGAAAACUAAAUAAAACCACGAUGAUCAUCAGAAGUGUACAUAAGUUAACUUAUAUUAGAUUUGGAUAGGUCCUCAGAGGAAAAUAAAAACAUCUUGGUGUAAAAAAGAUCAGCCACAAUAGCAAAGUGGGUAGUCCUGGAAGUGCAUGGGUCUUUCUAUGUACAAUUUUGGAAAACCAAGCUAUCUAUGUAUGAUUUGUUCCAUUUUUGUUAUAGAAGGUUUCAUGCCAUUUUUAUGAGUUUAGGAUUAAUAAACAUUAUCCAAGUCAAGCAUAAAAUGAGCAGCACCUCAUUCAGCACAUUCACUGGAAUUUCCAGUGUAUUUAUCAUUUUCUUCUGAAAGCAUGGAUAUAGCAAUGAUUAGAAAACAAUA